UGGAGUAGGAUAGUCAGAACCCUUCCCUGGGCCCCAAACCCGGCAGUCAGAGCCCCCCAAACCCAUGGAAGCUCAAGUGACAGGUUCAGGCAUGGAACUCGGUUUUCAGGCUUGCAUACCAAGGCUCUGCUCAGCCUUCUCACAGACCCUGUCAUGGAAACUUCCAAAUUUGCACCAGAGAAGACGAAAUGAAAUAAAGAAUGUCCAUGUACCCAUCAUCCAACUGGCGUCAGCUCUUACCAUGUAGAACUGGUUGUUCUGAAACUCAAGCCAGCCUUGAACUCAUAGAGAUCCACCUGCCUCUACCUCCUGAGUGCUUCAAUUGACGGGGUGUUCCAUCACGCUGGGCAAAGAUGAAUCCUUAACUGUAGAACUCCUGAAUCCCAGGAUAGAAACACUUUUAAAGAUUUUGGCUUUAUUUGUCCAGGACCACUUCUAGAAAGGUUGUAUAAAUUUAUGCUCCCUUGUACAUGAGAAUGCUAGUCUGUUGUUACUGUACUCUCACCUGUAUUGACCUUGAUGCAACACAUACAUGCACAUACAUACACAUUUUGCUGUCGUGGAAUGUUAAAAGUGCUUUCUUUACAUAUUUUGGAUUGCCAAGCUUAUCCUAAGAAGCCAUCCCAUGACUCCAGUGAAACAAACUCUCUUGAAGGGGCCCCAGGAAAUAUGUUGUCACUUCUUGGGGAUCCCAGCUGAGGUCUGUGAGAAGGGUGAGGAUCCAUCUUUCCAGAUGUUCUGGGUCCAGGUAGCUAUCUAUCCCCAGCUCUUGGAACAGGGAGGAGCCUGGGAACGCUCCUGCCUCAUCUAAAGGGCAGCCACCAGGGGUCAGGAUGGGGCCAGAGAUCCUGCUGGUGGGAGAGGGUAGGAAUGGCCAACAGCCAGACACUACAUUUCCUCUGUCUGGCCGCUGGUGGCCAGACACAAAGCUCAAGCUCUACUUGUCAGAUUUUAAUUCCAGAAUGUUCUGUAAGGCUUUCUUCCCUGUUUGACUGUCUCUGCCUUUUGCAGCUUGCUGAAAAGGGAGAUAGUCUGGACUCAUCUUUGAGAAGCCCACAUCCAUGCUCUGGUUUUUGGUGUGUGUCUUUCUGAGCACCUCUCUCUCUCUCUCAACGCUCAUGCUUAAAAUUACAUUAAAAUACCUUUAAUAAACUCUGACUUAAUAAACACAUGUAUUAAUAAACACAUGUAGGAGGUUUCAGUAUCUACAGAAUUCAUUUCUAGGUAAAGAAGUGUCUCCUUUGUCCCCCUGGGGCCAGUAAGUGCCCCAUCCCAUUCCUCCCCUUACCCUUGUAUGAUGCCUUCUUCCAGGCACAGCAACCACAGGCUCAGGUGCCACUGUUUAUACCCUGGGUUCUCCUAUGCAAAUCUCCCCUUGGCCCAAAUUUGUCUUUGCAUAAGAAUAAAAAUGUU